GCGGCUUGUCCGCGGACGGGGAUAAUAGGGAAGCGUAUGCACGGUCCUGCCGCCGUAAUGACAAGGCUUAUGCCGCUUCGCACAUAUGUCACUGGCAGUAUUGCUGUCGGGAAGGCGUGUGAAGUCCGUUUUGUUUCGGGAAGUCAAAGUCGGAAGACCUGCCUGCAAUUAUAA
rnacentral:ncRNA from 1 species